rnacentral:rRNA from 1 species
UGAGGAAUAUUGGGCAAUGGGCGCAAGCCUGACCCAGCAAUGCCGUGUGAAGGAUGACGCCCCUCGGGGUGUAAACUUCUUUUGUGUGGGAGGAGCAAGGACCGUACCACACGAAUCAGUCACGGCUAACUACGUGCCAGCAGCCGCGGUAAUACGUAGGUGGCGAACGUUAUCCGGAAUUACUGGGCGUAAAGGGUCCGCAGGCGGGUCACCAAGUCCGGCGUGAAAGCUCCCGGCUCAACUGGGAGAGGGCGUAGGAAACUGGUGGUCUUGAAUCUCAGAGAGGUCGGUGGAAUUCCCGGUGUAGUGGUGGAAUGCGUAGAGAUCGGGAGGAACCUCGAAAGCGAAGGCAACCGGCUGGCUGAAGAUUGACGCUGAGGGACGAAAGCGUGGGGAGCGAACAGGAUUAGAUACCCUGGUAGUCCACGCCCUAAACGAUGUGUGCUCGGUGUCUGCUCGUAAAGGGUGGGCGCCUCAGCUAACGCGCAAGCACACCGCCUGGGGAGUA